GCGGUGGUGGUUCAGUGGUAGAAUUCUCACCUUCCGUUCAGGAGACUCGGGUUCAAUUCCUGAUCAAUGCA
rnacentral:tRNA from 1 species